UACCGAGGGUGCGAGCGUUAAUCGGAAUUACUGGGCGUAAAGCGCGCGUAGGCGGCUUAUUAAGUCAGAUGUGAAAUCCCCGGGCUCAACCUGGGAACUGCAUCUGAUACUGGUAAGCUAGAGUUUUGUAGAGGGAAGUAGAAUUUCAGGUGUAGCGGUGAAAUGCAUAGAGAUCUGAAGGAAUACCAGUGGCGAAGGCGACUUCCUGGCCAAAAACUGACGCUGAGGUGCGAAAGCGUGGGUAGCAAACGGGAUUAGAUACCCCAGUAGUCC
rnacentral:rRNA from 1 species